rnacentral:rRNA from 1 species
UACAGAGGUCCCAAGCGUUGUUCGGAUUCACUGGGCGUAAAGGGUGCGUAGGCGGUCAUUUAAGUCUGACGUGAAAUCUCCGGGCCUAACCCGGAAACUGCGUUGGAAACUAUCUGACUAGAGGAAUGGAGGGGAGAUUGGAAUACUUGGUGUAGCAGUGAAAUGCGUGGAUAUCAAGUGGAACACCAGUGGCGAAGGCGAAUCUCUGGACAUUUCCUGACGCUGAGGCACGAAAGCCAGGGGAGCAAACGGG